CAGAUCCUUACAGUCAGUACAAAGUCAGAAGUCUCAGACCUCAAGGAGUUUUGACAGCUGGAACAAAAUGCUGAAAGGUGGAGAAUGAAUUUGACCUGUGGACUAUAUUUUGCACACACAAUUUAAAGGAAUGAGGAAAGUCAGUCUUUAAGAUCUUCAACCAAUUGGAUGAAGCCCACUCACAUUAUGGAGAGUAGUCUGCUUAACUCAAAGUCUGCUUACUGAUUUGAAUGGUUGUUGCUACUGAUUACUGACUCCAAUUCAAGUUCAAAACAUUCUGAAGCAGUGAUUUUUGAAGGAGUUGGAUCCAAAUGUUGAAGGAUGAAUAGAACACAGGCUCUUCUCUACAGGAGUUCAUCAUAUAAUUGGGAGUGGAGUUGUGCGAGAAGAAACGAGUGUUAUUUUGGAAAACUUAUGGUGACUUUUAACUGUACUCAGUACAACUCUGAACUUAGUGCCAUGUGGGAUCACAAGAACUCAAAACCGCACACAAGCAUGGCCAAUGAGGCACAUAUGUAAAGUGGAUAUGAUUUGAUCGUUGAUGGGCUACUACAUGUGAAGAACUGCACAGGAGUGGGAGAGCCAAGCUGGUCCACAGACAUCACGAGAACAUCAGAGCCCAGCGGAGAAGGAGUUCCUGGCUUUCAGUCAUGCUUCAUGUCUGUAGGAGCUUCUGGUCAUUCUGCUCCUGUGGGGAUGCACACUACUGGAGGCUUUGAAGCAACAUAAAAGUCCUUCCAUUUGUGCUAAAUACCAAACUCUAAACCCUGAGCUCCUGAAACAGAAAAUGUGCUUGGAUCCCACUGUGUCCCCUGCCUCUAUUGUCUUGGGAAUAUGCAUAUGGCAUCACUUGUUUACUCCCUCUGUAUAUUGAUUCCAUUAUCAAAAGAUCCUGUAGAGAAUCUUGGGGGUGUUUGCCCAGGGGAUGAGACUGUGACUGCUGCACUGGUCCUUGUAUUGUGCUGAACCUCGAUAUGUUAACAUCAGACACUUUAGUUAGGGAACGCUCGUAACUCCAGCCGCUGUCAACUCUUACAGACUGGGAAGGAGGAAGAUGGAAAAAUGCAAAGUGCAUGGGGUACAGAAGACCUGAAGACUGAACCUCUAGACGGAGUGCAGAGAAGCUGGCGCUUCUCAGCUUUCCCCAGGAGGCCGCUGAGAAAGGGUGCACUGCUUGGU